GUCUACGGCCAUGCUACCCUGAACACACCCAAUCUUGUCUGCUCUCAGAAGCUAAGCAGGGUCGGGCCUGGUUAGUACUUGGAUGGGAGACCAUCUAGGAAGACCAGGUGCUGUAGGCA
rnacentral:rRNA from 1 species